UCCUGUUUCCCUUGCACCACCAACAUUCCACUAUGUGUCAUCAUUACUACACAGCCAUCCUCUCCAAAUUACGCCACCACAGGCAACAUCACAACUAAUGUGGUGGACAUAGUGCCGUAGUGGAAUGGUAAAGGCAGCAGUAACGGUAUUAAAAAUUGCAAAUAUAAUGUUGCUUGGGUUCUGGAUUAAGACAAUUCUAAUGAUUCUCUCUUUAUGUUCACCGUCUUACUUCCUAAAUCUUGACAUGUAAGUUAAC
rnacentral:lncRNA from 1 species